GCCCCCGCCCGUAUCAGGGAGCUCAUCUGCAAGCAAAAAACCACGACGUUAACAAGAAAACCCAGCCAGUGCCUCUGGAGUACAGAGCCAUCAGGAAUGUCUGGCCAUUUUCUGGCUCAAGCUUUGACAGCAAAGGUGAUUUUGGGCACAGAAUGACAAGGAUGGGCUCACAGGACAAGAAAGGCCUGGGGCCAGGAGCAGCAGGUGGGAGGGUGUAGAGAAAGGACCUUCUACAAGGCUUGGAAGUGUCCCAUCAGCAUGUCCCCGGCCUUGGCAAGGAGGGUACAGUGCACCGUGCCCCCAGGUUUGCACCUGCCAACAAGUGCUGAGGCAUGGGCCCUGCGCCACUGAAGCCUGAUGAAUGUCCGUAUGUUAUCCAAGAGGGUCUCCUGGCCCGACACAGAGCAGCACCCACUGCUCACCUGGUCAGGCAGGUGCUGAGGCAUCAGGGCAGGUCGCUCACCACAGACUCAGCCACCAGCGGCAGUGCUGGGUCGUCCAGUGGCUUCUGACCCCAACGUGUCCCCAGAGCACAGCUUCCCAUGGGCCCUUUCUUCCC
rnacentral:lncRNA from 1 species